UACAGAGGGUGCGAGCGUUAAUCGGCAUUACUGGGCGUAAAGCGUGCGUAGACGGUAGCGUAAGUCAGAUGUGAAAGCCCCGGGCUCAACCUGGGAAUUGCAUUUGAGACUGCUCUGCUCGGGUGCGGAAGAGGGAAGCGGAAUUUCCGGUGUAGCGGUGAAAUGCGUAGAUAUCGGAAGGAACACCAGUGGCGAAAGCGGCUUCCUGGUCCGACACCGACGUUCAGGCACGAAAGCGUGGGGAGCAAACAGG
rnacentral:rRNA from 1 species